GUUGUAGCAGGUUGGUAAUGUUGUGUUUAGUUGUAGCAGGUUGGUAAUGUUGUGUUGAGUUGUAGCAGGUUGGUAAUGUUGUGUUGAGUUGUAGCAGGUUGAUAAUGUUGUGUUUAGUUGUAGCAGGUUGAUAAUGUUGUGUUUAGUUGUAGCAGGUUGGUAAUGUUGUGUUUAGUUGUACAGGUUGAUAAUGUUGUAGCAGGUUGAUAAUGUUGUGUUUAGUUGU